GAGGAGCCCAGGACCCUCGCGGAGGUUGCUUUCUUCUGAGAAGGUCUCUGAGAAGGACCAUUCCCUCCCCAAACCCUGCUGGAGCAAGGACAUGAGCCUCCUCUUUGACCAGUUCAUGAAGAAAUGUGAAGAUGGCUCCUGGCUUCAUUUGCCUUCAUAUGAGGCUAUAGCAACUCAACGGAGUCAAGACUUCUCAACCUUUAUUCACGACCUAUCCCCCUUUGUGCUAUUGUUUUGAUAAAUAGCCAACUUGAUAAAAUUGACGGAAGGAAACUGCUUGUGUCCUGUAAUGUUCAGAGCGUUGAUGAGAAGAUCCUAUACACAGAGGCCACAAGCUUAUUUGUAAAGCUGAAUCCUGAAAAAGGGUUUCACAUAAAAGAGCUUGUGUUGUAUUCUGCUCCACCUGCUUAAGGCUCUCUGUCCUUCACAAGAGGCUGUGUUCCCCAGUCCUGCUCUGCUCGCCCACUGUGAGCCCCUAUACGGUGAAGCCUGCUGACACUGCCUUUAUGAACAGUCUUCUGAAUGCAACUCCAGGAGCUCCGUUUCCACCUUCUACAUUUCCUAACACAGAAGCACUUCCUAUGAGAGUAUCAGCAAUGUUAGAAUUGCUGUGAUGUCUGUAAACUUGAAAAUUCCAGAAAACCAAAUGAAGGAGCAAAUAUGUGCAUGCAUAUUUGCAUGUGUGUCUAAUGUGUGCAUGCAUGCAUUCAUGAUUUGUAAAUUCCAAAGCUCAUUUUGUUGUAUCUAAAAUCUUUUUGAGCCUGGCCGGCGUGGUUGAGUGUCGAACUAUGAACCAGGAGUCAUAGUUCGAAUCCCGAUCAGGGCACAUGUCUGGGUUGCAGGUUUGAUCCCCAGUGUGGGGCGUUCAGGAGGCAGUCGAUCAAUGAUUCUCUCUCAUCACUGAUGUUUCUAUUUCCCUCUCCCUUCCUCUUCGAAAUCAAUAAAAAUAUAUUUUAAAAAAAUAAAAUAAAAUAAAA